rnacentral:rRNA from 1 species
AAUCAACGCUGGCGGCGUGCCUCAGACAUGCAAGUCGAACGCGAAAGUUUCCUUCGGGAAACAAGUAGAGUGGCGCACGGGUGAGUAACACGUAGGUAAUCUACCUUCGGAUGGGGAAUAACAAUCGGAAACGAUUGCUAAUACCGCAUAAUGCAGCGGCACUUAAAUGGUGACAGUUGUUAAAGCGGGGGAGUCGAAGGACCUCGCGUCUGAAGAGGAGCCUG